rnacentral:rRNA from 1 species
UGGGGAAUCUUCGGCAAUGGACGAAAGUCUGACCGAGCAACGCCGCGUGAGUGAAGAAGGUUUUCGGAUCGUAAAACUCUGUUGUUAGAGAAGAACAAGGACGUUAGUAACUGAACGUCCCCUGACGGUAUCUAACCAGAAAGCCACGGCUAACUACGUGCCAGCAGCCGCGGUAAUACGUAGGUGGCAAGCGUUGUCCGGAUUUAUUGGGCGUAAAGCGAGCGCAGGCGGUUUCUUAAGUCUGAUGUGAAAGCCCCCGGCUCAACCGGGGAGGGUCAUUGGAAACUGGGAGACUUGAGUGCAGAAGAGGAGAGUGGAAUUCCAUGUGUAGCGGUGAAAUGCGUAGAGAUCUGGAGGAAUACCGGUGGCGAAGGCGGCCCCCUGGACAAAGACUGACGCUCAGGUGCGAAAGCGUGGGGAGCAAACAGG